rnacentral:rRNA from 1 species
CUUGCAAAAACAACGAAUAAGAGGUCCCGCCUGCCCUGUGACUUAAAUUUUAACGGCCGCGGUAUUUUACCGUGCGAAGGUAGCGCAAUCACUUGUCUUUUAAAUGGAGACCUGUAUGAAUGGCACAACGAGGGCUUAACUGUCUCCUCUUUCCAGUCAAUGAAAUUAAUCUUCCCGUGCAGAAGCGGGAAUAUACUCAUAAGACGAGAAGACCCUAUGGAGCUUUAGACACUAAGACGAAUCAUGUUAAGUACCUCUAAAUAAAGAACCAAACCAGAUGAACCUCGCCCUAUAUGUCUUUGGUUGGGGCGACCGCGGGGAAAUACAAAACCCCCACGUGGAAUGGGAACACCCCUCCUACAACUCAGAGCUCCCGCUCUAAUAAACAGAACUUCUGACCAAUCAGAUCCGGCAAAGCCGAUCAACGGACCGAGUUACCCUAGGGAUAACAGCGCAAUCCCCUUCUAGAGCCCAUAUCGACAAGGGGGUUUACGACCUCGAUGUUGGAUCAGGACAUCCUAAUGGUGCAGCCGCUAUUAAGGGUUCGUUUGUUCAACGAUUA